rnacentral:rRNA from 1 species
UACGUAGGGUGCAAGCGUUGUCCGGAAUUAUUGGGCGUAAAGAGCUCGUAGGCGGUCUGUCGCGUCGGCUGUGAAAACCCAGGGCUCAACUCUGGGCCUGCAGUCGAUACGGGCAGACUAGAGUUCGGCAGGGGAGACUGGAAUUCCUGGUGUAGCGGUGAAAUGCGCAGAUAUCAGGAGGAACACCGGUGGCGAAGGCGGGUCUCUGGGCCGAUACUGACGCUGAGGAGCGAAAGCGUGGGGAGCGAACAGGAUUAGAUACCC